GACGGAGGGUGCGAGCGUUGUUCGGAAUCAUUGGGCGUAAAGCGUGCGUAGGCGGCCGCGCAAGUCGGGUGUGAAAUCCCAGGGCUCAACCCUGGAAUUGCGCUCGAAACUGCGUGGCUUGAGUCCGGGAGAGGGUUGCGGAAUUGCCGGUGUAGAGGUGAAAUUCGUAGAUAUCGGCAAGAACACCAGUGGCGAAGGCGGCAACCUGGACCGAGACUGACGCUGAGGCACGAAAGCGUGGGGAGCAAACAGG
rnacentral:misc_RNA from 1 species